rnacentral:rRNA from 1 species
ACCUUGUGAAUUGCAGAAUCCCGUGAACCAUCGAGUCUUUGAACGCAAGUUGCGCCCGAAGCCAUUAGGCCAAGGGCACGUCUGCCUGGGUGUCA